UACAGAGGGUGCAAGCGUUGUUCGGAAUUAUUGGGCGUAAAGGGCGCGUAGGCGGUGCGGUAAGUCUGUAGUGAAAUCUCUGGGCUCAACCCAGAGUCUGCUGCAGAAACUGCCGUGCUUGAGUGUGGGAGAGGUGAGUGGAACUCCGAGUGUAGAGGUGAAAUUCGUAGAUAUUCGGAAGAACACCAGUGGCGAAGGCGACUCACUGGCCCAUUACUGACGCUGAGGCGCGAAAGCGUGGGGAGCAAACAGG
rnacentral:rRNA from 1 species